AAUAAAUGAUGGUGUAACGUGCAUUCAAAUGUGAACCACAUAACUCUCUCCGACUUUCGUACAAGGAUACUAAAAUCUAAGUUAAUUAAAGAAGCUGGUCCCAAUCCCAAACAAAGCAUUUGUAUAUAUAUAUAUUUUUUGUUUCGAUCCUUUCCCUUCAUCAGUAGCCCCGUACUUCCUCUUCUAUUUCACAUGCAUUUCUUAUCUACGUAAUCAUCAUCAUCAUCUUCUUCUUCUUCAACCAUUUCUUCACUCCAUUAUCUCUCUCUUCAUGGCUAGCUUGGGAUUCAUCGUUAUCGGCAUUGCUGUCUCUGUUAGAAAGACAUUUUCAAGGGUGGUGAAGAAGAAAUCAACAGAGAAUUACAAAUCGGCGCUCUACGUAACUUCAUUACUGGGUUACAAAUUUGUGGACUUUCUAUGGAUUCAUGAACCUAGACGGUUUGCUUGUGGUGACUGUGAAUGCGACUGGUGCUGCUUUCCAGUGCAUCUAUGUCACACUUUUUCUCAUCUACGCUCCCAACCAAGGAUAAAAAGCUGCUGCUCACGGCUUGGCAUUAGAGAACCCAUUUCCUUGGGUGGACCAAUAGAGUAUGAUGAGAUAAAGACUCGCAAACUUAAAGAGUUUUUGCAAGAUUUGGGAUUGUACGAGAGUCAGGAGGAGGUUGUGAGUAAAGAGAAAGUGCUUGCGAGACGAGACCAGGUGAGGUCUUGUGGAUAAACUAUCAUCCUUCGUGCAUUGCAGAAGAGAUUGGAGGAAAGAAAUAGCCAGCUUCAGCUUCCACUGCUGAUGAGACAGAUUUACAUGCAUAUUCAUCCAAGAGGACAAAUGGAUUUUUAUAACUCGGAUUUCUUAUUAAAUUUUUUUUUUCCUAAAGAUUAUUAGACAUUUAAGUGUUGAUUCAUUUGAAAAAGACAAAUGGAUUCUUGUAAUUCAUUCAAGUAAAAUAUUUGAUUUUAAGUUAUAGUACUGUGGUAUUGGAUGAAUAUAUUGCAAUUUUUAUAUUUAUACAUUGACUUUCAUUUGUCUAUUUUGAACUUCUUAACGAUUGUAUUUUAUUUAAAUUAUUUUUAUAUAUUUCUUUUUUGUAUUUUGUCUCUCUAUAUAUGUAUGCGUAUUUUUAUAAUCAUUUAUUUUAAUGGAUUGUGUAUGAUAGAUAGAUAAAUUAAAAUGUGAGUAAAUAAUAAUAAUAAUUACUUUAAUGGAGAAUAUUUAUUUUUGCCACAAAAAAAAGUGUGAAAAUUCUUUGCAUAUUUAUUUUUGCCACAAAAAAAGUGUGAAAAUUCUUUGCAACAAAUAUCGAGUAUUUAGUGGGAAAAAUAUUUAUUACAAAUAUAUUAAUUUUUUGUGGAAAAAAUAUUCCCUUUACUUUUUAAUGGAAAAAAUAUUUGCCAAAUAUUUUAGCCUUGGGAAGCAUUUUCUCACCAAAAAGUUGAAUUUUUAGUGGAAAAUAUUUUUUUUGCCACUAGAGUCGGUUUUUGUGACAAAAUCACAUUUCGUCACUAUAAUAUUUUGGGUCGGGCAAAAUUUAAUUUCUCCACUAAUACUUACUGGCGAAAUUAGCACUUUUAGUGGAAAAAUUUUCCCUGCAAAAUGUCUAUUUCUUUUUAGUGUUUGUGGUUCUUAUACUCUAAUUAAAUCUUAGAGGUGUGGACAUCGAUCUUGUUUCUAUGAAGAAAGAGGAACUUCCAUGUCUUUUUGGAACCAUAGACUCCAAGACCAAAGCUAAAAAGUUUUUGCUUUUCCUCUUCUUUCUUCUCUGAACCUCUUGCAUAUUCGAUAUUGUUGUUUCUACAGAAGUUUUCUUGUUAAAGAAGUCGUCGAUUGUUCUCUGUAUUUUAUGUAUAUUUUGAUGCCUUAUUCUUAGAGACGUAAAAGUCUCCCGCUAUUCUAUAUUUUGACUUUCUCUUGUUGGGAAUCUUUUGUUUAAAUUUCUGGACCGUGGACACAACGCUUCAAUUUGCAUCAGAUACGUAUUGAGUGUCUAGCUAGAUAUCCAACGUUUUAGUUAAAUUUGACUAGAAAUCCGAAAGUGGCCCCUUGUUUUAGUUUUCCUCCUGAAAAUGCUAUGGUUUCAUUUUGAGUUUUAUUGUAAUAUGUGGUUUGGUCUCUUUGUAAUGCUAGACUUUAGUCUUUAAUAUGUUAUGAAAUGCAAUUAUCUUUGACAAAAAGAAAAGAAAAGAUAAUAAAAAGUUAGGUCCACUCGCUAUUAUAAGAAAGUAUGCAAAUGGUUUGGUAGGGUUGUGCCCUUUAAUCGUCAACCGUACAUGGUGAUUUAGAAAAAGCACACAUAUCUCUAUUGUCUCUUCUUAUAUAUGCUCUUCUUCAAUUAUGCAUCUACCACAAUAUAUACAGUUUCUACUAAUUCUUGGCUGAUUUGAAGCUUCAUAAUUAAUACUAUUGGUCAGUUCCUUACUACUUUCACCAUUUGAUAUAUGUUUUUAUUUGAACACUCAGCUCCUUUGUGGAAUUAAUUGAUUUUUUUAUUAA